GAUGAAGAACGUAGCGAAAUGCGAUAAGUAAUGUGAAUUGCAGAAUUCAGUGAAUCAUCGAAUCUUUGAACGCACAUUGCGCCCGCCAGUAUUCUGGCGGGCAUGCCUGUUCGAGCGUCAUUUCAACCAUCAAGCCCCAGGCUUGUGUUGGGGACCUGCGGCUGCCGCAGGCCCUGAAAACCAGUGGCGGGCUCGCUGUCACACCGGGCGUAGUAGAUUUUAUCUCGCUCAGGGCGUGCUGCGGGUUCCGGCCGUUAAAAAGCCUUUUUUACCCAAGGUUGACCUCGGAUCAGGUAGGAAGACCCGCUGAACUUAAGCAUAUCAAUAAGCGGAAGA
rnacentral:misc_RNA from 1 species